UUUCCGUCUCCACGUUUAUGGUCAAAUAUAUUCCUACAGCAGUCAAAGAGAAGAGGAAGAAGAGUUGGGGAAGAAAGCUAAAGAGUCGAGAAAGGGAAAGAACGCAUGGAGGGAAAACAUAAGCGCAGAGGAAAUAGAGGAUUACUUUGGGAAAUCGAGUAAAGAUGCUCUUCUGGCGGCUCUCUUUCUCAGUUUCUAAGCGAAUCACUUUUCUAUAUUGACAAGUCCAAAGUUUAGCUCAACUUUAACCUUAACCUUUGAACUCAACAUGAUCGUUCUGUUAAGAGGAAGAUUGAUAAACACAGACAAAAGGUGGUCCAAUGUGAUGGUGUAAUACAAAAGAACCCCUUUGUUCAGGCAUUACUGACAUCAAAAUCAAAGAAGAAAGAUAAAGGCGUCUUGAAAGAAAACAUGUAACACAAGAUGGUCCCAAGUUAUUUUUUCUCAAGGACAAUGAUGGCAGUGAUUCUGUCAUGGUUGACAUACAGUCAAAUGAAGGUAUUUUGCAUAACAGUUUUAGCACUUUUGGGGUUUUGUUUUUAGAUUAUGUGUUUGAGGGGCUUACUGUGUUAACCUUUCAGAUGAAGGGGACAAUAAAUCAAAAAAGGUAAACUAUUGUUACUACUAUUUGAAUGUAGUUGUGAUAUCAGCUAGCGUAUUAAAUUACUAUACAAUAGGCAAUGCUUCCACUGCAGAUGGCUUUGUUCAUGAUUUUGGUAAUUCAGUUGGCUAAGGGGCAGACUCAGGCUAACGUGUGUAUAUGUGUGUUUGUGUGGGUAUAGAUUGUCUGAGUGAAUGGUGGAACUGCUAAACACAUGUAUACACAAGUUAGCAUGAGUGGAUGGUGGCUAUGUUGUUGAAUUUUCUCUAGGGAGCAUAUGAAUCACCCAAACAAACUCAUGAAUCUUAUUUCUGGGCUUUAUGUUUCUGUAUUUCCCAUAACUUACAUGUUUAGUGAUAAUUUUAUUUUGAUAUAGAGGUAUGCAUGACGAUGAUGAACUUAUGAUGGGAAAGAAGCACAAUUAUUAGAAAAUGUUUCAGUUUGAUUAUAAGUUGAAGCAUCUUAAUCAGUUUUGUUUCUUUUUUGACGAAGUCAUUUCUAAAAUUUCAUUGUGGGAACAUUCAUGGAGGAAAAAGCUCAGAACCUAAGGAUCUUCUCUCAAUGCAGAACAAUCAUUCUCUCUUCAAAUGAAAACUAAGCUAGAAGUCUUCUCUCCCAGCUACUUCAAUAGAGAAGUCUCUGACUUCUGGGUUGUUAAUGGUUACACCCCUCAGUCAUAUAAAGUUUACAGAGGGGAAAUUGUAAUUGAAGAGGUCAUAGGUGCACAAAAGUGAUAUUUGAGUGAAGAAUAAUGUUGGUGAAGCGAUGUGACGAUUGGGAACAAACAUCUUAAGAGUCGGAGUUAAGACAGGGAAGUUAUGAGAUUUUGGAGAGAAUAUCUUCGGAUUUUUGGCAGAGUAUUCAAUGCCUCAGCAUGGAGAAAUUAUUGAUGCGAAAUGGGAAAGAUAGAGUAACCAAUGCCUUGACAUGGAAGAGUAACUGCUAUGACAUUGAAUGCUUCAAUGCCAUGACAUGCGUAGAGAAGUUGAAAUUUUUCUGAAGUAUUGUAUCGUAAUUUGUUUGAGACUCCCCCAAUGACACCCCAAUGAACCCUAACAAUAUAAAUAGUCUCUUUCUAGCAAAAUUGGGAGAGAGCUGAGCUGUGAAAGAAAACUGAAGAGAGCAAACGGGAAGAAUUCAAUAUUGACACCAACUUGAUUUGCUAAGAUUUUCUACUCAUCUUCUGUUGUUUGUCCUCAUGAAUUUUGAUUUAGUUCUUAUAUUUGAAUAGAUAACUAAUCUUCUUGCAAUUAGGGUGAUUUCAAAACCCUAGUUAUGAUUUACGACCAUUAAUAACAAGUGCACUUUCUUUCUUUGGUUA